GCUGCAGGUGGUGGCUACCCUGCAGAACCAGACUUCAAUGCAGCCCCUGACUCUGCGGCGUCUAGAGCACGAGAAGAAAAGGAAGGAGAUCAAGGACCAGUGGCACCGGGUGCAGAGGAAGCUGCAAGAAGCAGAGACCAACCUUCGAAAGGCAAAGCAGAGCUACAUGCAGCGCUGCGAAGACUAC